AAGUGUUCAAUAUAAUUAUGAAAAUAAAGCUUAUUGCCCAACUUAAGAGUAUUGUUGUUUUAUGGAUGUAAUUGCAUGCAUAACGUUAAAAUUUAAAUGGAAGUAUGGAUUUUCAGAGUGUACCGAAAAUAUUGCUAGUCUCGUUCCACGAUGUACAAGGGGAUGACACUAAAACUGCGUUCCAAAUGACGUUCGCGAGCCUCGCGGACUGCACGACGACGAGCGCGCUGAAUGUCUUCUCCUAAACUUGUUAAUGUUUACCUGUCAAAACGGUGUUUUGAGAAGCUGAUUUGACAUUUCCUCCCAAUGUUUUGAAGUCACAACGCGAAAGCGAUCAAACGUUGUAAACGUUCACUGGAACUUAUUUCAAGUGUAACACAAUUGUUCACCUUUUUUUUGCUUGAACCUAAGAAAGUUCAUAUAAACGUCACAUUUAGUAUCUUUUUGUCACAUUUUUCGAUACCAUAAUUGGUUUGCUUCUGUACAAGUAUGUAUCACUAAUCAAUCAUUUAGCAACUUUAUGAGCUCGUCCAGAUACCAUAGAGCCACCCUAAUCAAAUCUAGGAACACAAGGCAUAAUUUUCAUAAAAUCCUAUUGAUAAAACAAACAUGAAAACAACAUGUUAGCCAUUUGAUUCAACGUAAAAUUAUAUUUCACUGCCCCGUAAGAUCUGUGUAUUGUUGUAUUUUGAAAAGGAAAAAAAAUACCGAAUGAAAUAAAGUAAUCCAAGGUUCCCUACCAUGCGUAGCGUUUAGAAAAUCAUCCGAAGAUGUAUAUGUCGUGAUAGUUUUGUUCACAAAAUGCAAAGACCGCGAUAGUUUCAUUCAUGAAAGUUAAGAAAUUGAAGCCGAUAUAUGAUUGGAAGUAUUGAGAGUUGACUGAAGCAGGGAUUUUAUUUGACAUCUUUUAAGUAGUGAAUAAUAGAUCUUUUUAAAAUUAUUGCAUUCAACCCAUAAUUCGCGCAGCCAGUCCGGUACCUCGUACCUACUUCGCAUUGUCACAAUAGUUUUCGGUUGGGUUUAGAAUCUCGAUUUGUUUCUCCUAUAUAUAGUCUUCUUGAGGUGCCAAUUCCACAUUGGCCAGUCCAUAAGGUUUAUCAAGCACAGUUGAUUCGAUUUUCAUCAUAUCAUUCAUAGCGAAAGCAACUUGAAAUAGGAAAAGGGGAAUUGUGUUUGGUGGUUAGUUUAAUAGUUGAACUAUUAACUCGCUGGUAAUGCAAGAACAAUAGGCGCACACAUCACUACGUAUGGCUCCAUCCAUUCACAGCAUCGCAUCUAGCCAUCGAAUUUGUUUACUACUCGAUGACCGCAUCGCUGCGAGUAGCAUCAACCAUUUACAACAAUGUAACUAACCAUCGAGUCGAUUUGUAGCAGCAGUGUGAAGCCACUCCCGGGGCAGUACCCUAAGCUAGAUAUUUCUUGUGCUUUGCAUUUGUAACUCGACGAUUUCAGCCAGGCUGAACAUUGAAUAGUCGACCAAGGAGCUUCUAUGUCUUUUGAGCCAACAACCUACAACAUGUCUACAAGGGACUCUUUAAGGUCUAGUCAUUUAAAAACUGAGCCGUUGCAGCUACUCAGCCACUUAUCUACUUAUAAUUUCCACACGACAGUAAUUGAACCUUUAAAUAUUCUGGAAACCACUAUCAAACCUAAUGAAACACAGAUACUUAGCGACGAAUUUUUGUUUACCUUUAUUGAAAUAUAUAUCAACAAAAAUACAUCGAUCUUACAAAUUAAUUGAUGAUUUAAAAUAAAAUCUAAUUACUGCUCCUCACUCUCUCUAAAUAAACUUAAAAGACUGCUUGAAA
rnacentral:lncRNA from 1 species